rnacentral:rRNA from 1 species
UACGAAGGGGGCUAGCGUUGCUCGGAAUUACUGGGCGUAAAGCGCACGUAGGCGGCUUCUUAAGUCGGUGGUGAAAUCCUGGAGCUCAACUCCAGAACUGCCUUCGAUACUGGGAGCUCGAGUCCGGGAGAGGUGAGUGGAACUGCGAGUGUAGAGGUGAAAUUCGUAGAUAUUCGCGAGAACACCAGUGGCGAAGGCGGCUCACUGGCCCGGUACUGACGCUGAGGUGCGAAAGCGUGGGGAGCAAACAGG